GCAGGGUGAAUGCAAUCUUUGAAAAGGGCACUGUGUGUUCUUUUUGGUUUUCUAGCACUUGCACUCAGGUGAGGUCCUCUCAAGUCCCAGUUUAAAAAAAAAAGUUCUGUUAUAAAAUGGCAGCAAAAGACUGAAGGAGUUUGCUCUUUUAUAAUGACUUACAUGAAUGUAAAAAAUUCUACUUUUUUGGUUGAUCUCUAGCAAGGUAACUACCCUCAUCACACACAAGCUGGCAACAAGUGAAAAACUGAAACAGCUAAUAUUUAGUAACAAAUCAUAUAUCCAGACAAAGUCAGUGAUGCAGAGGCAUUUAGCCAACUCUACAUCAUUUAUUUGACAGUACCACAUGGCAAGCAAUGGCAAAGUUGGCUUUAAAAGCUAAAACAGAUUGUUUCUUUCGUUUGUACUUUGGGUGAAGUAUAACUGCAACAUAGUAUAGUACUAAACAGAUAGUACAUUACAAUCAGCAACUUGUGAUAUCCACUCUAAUGGAACUUGUGUAUGAGAGGCCACUAUGAAUGCUUAUAACAAAUGUUAUGAAGUCUAAUGAUGAACAGCUUACUGCAUAUUGCUAAAUUUCCCCUCUUUUUUACUUGAAUACGUCACUAAAUUUAGCUGUGUUUGUCAGUCAUUGUUAACAAAAAUCUUCUGAUAAAUGUUUUGAAGCAAUCAAAACUUGCACUCUGAUCCACUGAAU